GGGGCCGUAGUCUAGCCUGGUCUAGGACUCCUGAACAUGUGGAGUGUUCAGGACUGAAACCUGGCUUGGGCCCAGGAGGUCGCCGGUUCAAAUCCGGCCGGCCCCACCA
rnacentral:tRNA from 1 species